GUGGGAAAAGUAACUAACAUCACUUUUAAAAUACAUAUAUAUCUUUAUUGGAGAAGACACAGUUGCUGCGGAGCCGGUCCUUCUCUGAGCCGGCAGCCCGGAGUGUGGCAGUGGAGCAAACAUGAAUGUUGGAGUUGCCCACAGUGAGGUGAAUCCAAAUACCUGGGUAAUGAAUAACCGGGGUAUGUGGCUGACAUAUGCAUUGGGAGUUGGCUUGCUUCAUAUAGUCUUACUCAGUAUUCCCUUCUUCAGUGUUCCUGUUGCUUGGACCUUAACAAAUGUUACACAUAAUCUGGGGAUGUAUGUAUUUUUGCAUGCUGUAAAAGGAACACCUUUUGAAACUCCUGACCAGGGUAAAGCAAGGCUCCUAACUCAUUGGUAACAACUGGACUAUGGAGUACAGUUUACAUCUUCACGGAAGUUUUUCACAAUUUCUCCAAUAAUUCUGUAAGUCGUGGAAAUUUUUAGAUAUUUUCUGGCAGGUUUCUGUACAAAGUAUGAUCCAAUUCACUUCAUCCUAAACACAGCUUCUCUCCUGAGUGUGCUAAUUCCCAAAAUGCCACAGUUACAUGGUGUUUGGAUUUUUUGGAAUUAACAAGUAUUGA